CCUACGGGAGGCAGCAGUGGGGAAUUUUGGACAAUGGGCGCAAGCCUGAUCCAGCAAUGCCGCGUGAGUGAAGAAGGCCUUCGGGUUGUAAAGCUCUUUUGUCAGGGAAGAAAAGGGAUUGGCUAAUAUCUGGUCCUCAUGACGGUACCUGAAGAAUAAGCACCGGCUAACUACGUGCCAGCAGCCGCGGUAAUACGUAGGGUGCAAGCGUUAAUCGGAAUUACUGGGCGUAAAGCGUGCGCAGGCGGUUUUGUAAGACUGUCGUGAAAUCCCCGGGCUUAACCUGGGAAUGGCGAUGGUGACUGCAAGGCUAGAGUUUGGCAGAGGGGGGUAGAAUUCCACGUGUAGCAGUGAAAUGCGUAGAUAUGUGGAGGAACACCGAUGGCGAAGGCAGCCCCCUGGGUCAAAACUGACGCUCAUGCACGAAAGCGUGGGGAGCAAACAGGAUUAGAUACCCUGGUAGUCCACGCCCUAAACGAUGUCUACUAGUUGUCGGGUCUUAAUUGACUUGGUAACGCAGCUAACGCGUGAAGUAGACCGCCUGGGGAGUACGGUCGCAAGAUUAAAACNCAAAUGAAUUGACGG
rnacentral:rRNA from 1 species